GACGUAGGGUCCAAGCGUUGUCCGGAAUUACUGGGCGUAAAGCGCGGGCAGGCGGUCUUGCCAGUCUGAUGUGAAAUCUCCUCGCUCAACGGGGAGCAGCCAUUGGAAACUACAAGACUGGAGUCUGGCAGAGGUAGGCGGAAUUCCGGGUGGAGUGGUGAAAUGCGUAGAGAUCCGGAGGAACACCAGAGGCGAAGGCGGCCUACUGGGCCAGUACUGACGCUGAGCCGCGAAAGCCAGGGGAGCGAACGGG
rnacentral:rRNA from 1 species